rnacentral:rRNA from 1 species
GUAAGUUCCGACCCGCACGAAAGGCGUAACGAUUUGGGCACUGUCUCAACGAGAGACUCGGUGAAAUCAUAGUACCUGUGAAGAUGCAGGUUACCCGCGACAGGACGGAAAGACCCCGUGGAGCUUUACUGUAGCCUGAUAUUGAAAUUCGGCACAGCUUGUACAGGAUAGGUAGGAGCCUUUGAAACGUGAGCGCUAGCUUACGUGGAGGCGCUGGUGGGAUACUACCCUAGCUGUGUUGGCUUUCUAACCCGCACCACUUAUCGUGGUGGGAGACAGUGUCAGGCGGGCAGUUUGACUGGGGCGGUCGCCUCCUAAAAGGUAACGGAGGCGCUCAAAGGUUCCCUCAGAAUGGUUGGAAAUCAUUCAUAGAGUGUAAAGGCAUAAGGGAGCUUGACUGCGAGACCUACAAGUCGAGCAGGGUCGAAAGACGGACUUAGUGAUCCGGUGGUUCCGCAUGGAAGGGCCAUCGCUCAACGGAUAAAA